rnacentral:rRNA from 1 species
AGAAGCAUUCCAUACCACCCUGAACGCGCCCGAUCUCGUUUGAUCUCGGAAGCUAAGCAGGGUCGGGCCUGGUUAGUACUUGGAUGGGAGAAGCAUUUA